rnacentral:rRNA from 1 species
UUGACCUCGGAUCAGGUAGAAUACCCCGCUGAACUUAAGCAUAUA